rfam:Triticum aestivum genome assembly, contig: Triticum_aestivum_CS42_TGACv1_scaffold_019855_1AS
UGGAUACUCCCUCCGUCCGAAAAAACUUGUCCCAAACGUGUUCCUCAAAUGGAUGUGUCUAGCAUUAACUUGGGGCUAGAUACAUCUAUUUGAGGGACAAGUUUUUUCAGACGAAGGGAGUACUUG